UGAGACGAUGCUUUUAACAGAACCAUCGAAAUGGUUUGCUUAACGAGAUACAAAUGUAUGUAUCUUCGGGAUAACGAAUAGUGAAAAUAAUCAAUGGCGGUGACAUGAAAAAAUUCAUCUGCCACGCGCCGUUCACCCGAUACGGCUCUUCUGCUAACCCACGUGCUACGCUCCUCAGCUUUCAGCUACACCUCCGUCGCCCACGCUGAAAGUCACGGCCCACGUUCGCGAUGACGCAUCUAUAUGCAUCCUGGUAUUUGUUUUUACAGACAAUCUAGGAGAAAUAAAUGGAGAAAUAUCGAUGCAUUUUGAAUGGUUAUCUUCUACCGAGAAACUACGCGAAAAUUACGUAAAUCCUUUUCGCGAUUUAUCUAUAUCGUUGGAUCUUUGGCGAUAUUUACUGUUAUAAUUCAUUUUCCAAGACGAACAAAUUGUAUUGCGCGUAUGUCGUACACUGGCUCGGGAAAGUGUUUGGAUAUUUAUCAUAGAAAACUUUUAGGUCUAUGCUUCAUGUGUUACACGUAUUUUGAAAUUUCAUCGACACUGUAACGAGACGCGACGUGUUACGACUAUAUUGGCAAAUUUUGAGACCAAUUUGAAGAUGUAUAUACACGUUACAAGAUAUUUACCGCAGAUGUGUUACUAGCAUACGACGUUCAACUACUUUUCUGGUCUCUGUGAGAUACAAAUAAACGAAUAAUUUUAUUAACAUUUUAAUUAUCCAUCAACAACCUGCUGAAUUUUAAAACUGCUCUGUGAAAAAUAGAAAACGUAACUUAUCGUAUUAUUGCUCCUCUAUCAUAAAGUCUUCAAUCGCAUUAUUCCUACUCCAUGAAACACACGUUAUUUUCAAGAAACUGUAGCUCGAUCGAUCGUAUUAAACGAUAAAUAGAUAAAAAUUACCGUAGGAUGCGCGAGACGCGUCAUGGGACGCGAACGAUUCGCGAAAUUUGAUCGUUGGACGAUUCACCUGGAAAGAGCGGAGGUGAAUAAUAGAAAAAAAAAGGGUAUUCGAUCGCGUUGCUUGAAUUCCAUUUUUUAGGGACCCCAUCUACUACCCUUUGGCCCUUUGGUGCAACUCUACAAGGGUCGCGUUAAUUGUCGAGCUGACACGCGCACGUAAGCCCACCUAUCGAAAACCAUGUCUCAUAAUAUAUCAGCGAUGACAUCGAGGCUGUCGUUCGAUCCCUUCCCAUCAAUUUGCGGCAGUGCCAUGUUCCCAGCAUAGACAUAUCCUCAUUUAUCCCAAUGUCCUACACGUCGCCAGCCAAUUUGCUAAUCGAGCCAAUCAUCCAAUCGUAUUAACCUUGCCGGCCAUUCAGAGACCCCGGUCUUCUUUUUAUUGGUUGGUUCCUGCGACAGGUUUCACAUUUGCAAACACACCAGCCUCCAAGGUGUUAAACGGUCUGGUCGUAUCGGGACACGUCGUUUACCUUUAUCGAUCGAUCUACAAGAGCCAUUAACGCCUCAAAAGGAUACUCGUUGCCGUGUAGAGGCGAAUUUAAACUUUACACUUCGGACAUGCAUCGUGAACGAUUCAUUCACGCGCGAAAGCUAUAAAGAUUGUUUCCAUCUGCGGUUCAUCCGGAAUGACCAACCAAAGAUACGGCCAAUCUCUGCUUUCGAGUUGGAUUAUGGUCGGAGAAGCAGUAACCGACCUGUCGAAUGAAGCUAAGCUAUCGCAUCAAGAUCUUCUUAAAUCAAUCCAUAGUAUCGGAAAAGAAGAAUGGAACAGGUUAUGGAGUUCGACCAGGAGAAUCCAACUUCGCGUCAGAGUUGAAAACUUCUAUCAUCCAAUGCCUUUCUUCGAUUCUGUGUUUCACCGAAAAACUCGCUUAAUUACGGAUUCUAUAAUUUUACCAUUCAAUGAUAAUUCUAUGGUUUUACAAUGUUGCUACUAUUUUGUUUGCAACAUUACGAUAAACUACGAUUUGCUUGGUCCUCGAUUGGAUUAAACGGCACGACGGAGGAGACUUUAUUCAAAGGAAUUUCGAACGAGCUCGCAGACUGCAAGAUAAAUGGCUCGCUUUAACAACGAGAACGAUGGACGACGUACGAAGAUCGUACGAUGUGGGAUCACGUAUCGACGAAAACAUAAAGCAUCACAGGGGAUUCCUGGCACGCUCGGUUUAAGUCAGAACCGUAAUCCGAACGCCCCUUUCAUCCUUUAUUCCAUGAACUCCGCCCCGUGAAAUUUCGUCGAUGAAGACGAAACACACAGCAGAAGCAGCGUGGUAGAUAGAUUGGCUGACUUUACGCGAUCGCUCGUUAACUCAAAGUAAUCGAAAAUUCUUUCAUCCGAAAUGGGAGAAAAAAGAACGCGCCUCGACGUAUGGAAGUAUUCUUUAGAGUCAGGUAUUUUGCCCUUUCUCCUGUAUCGAACCAUCGUAAAUCAUCCGUCGAUGUUUCCAAACCGCAGCUCGUUCUUUGACUAAGCAACUUUGAAGAGAGCCUGUAUGUACCGAUAUAUCGAUCUUCGUCUUUUUCAUCUUUAUGAAUGACACCAGUGUGCUCGUUGGUAUUUGCCAGACUAUCCGCGCUAUUGCCUAGGUUUCGUAUUUUCUCGUAAUACUUUCCUCCUUUUACGUGUAACUCGCUAUGACAUCUACGUUUUAGACCUCGUCUUUCAAGGGAAAUUAAUUAACGUGUCCUGUAUCUGCGUUCUUUGAUCGGAAGCUUCGCAGGGACCGGAACGUAUUGAACAAAAGUUAAAGAUGCUGGAACCUUUCCUUUUGGAAUUUUCUUUCUACAGGAAGAUAGUAAGUACCGCUUGUAAUUACCAAUUCGUCACAAAUUUCUACACUUUGUUCAAAUUCAAAUGGAACUAUUAUAACAAAUCGUAGUGGUCAGAGAUAUCUUCCACAUCUCUCUAUUAGCCUUUGCUCGAUUCCAAUCGGCCCGUUGCGCAGUCUCCAUUUCAAUUACGCGAGGCUAUCGUUCCCACGUAAUAUGGUAUCAUUUACAGUGACCGAAAGCUUCGCGGGGGGGACAAAAAAACGUUGGAUCUACGCGGUAUCGAUUUUAUCGCAGCUCUCGAUUUACUAGCGACCGAUUCGACCGCAGGUUCCAUCGCGCACCAGCUGGAGGCAGCCGCCACACGGGCAAACGUACAACGCGGGAACCAGCCGACGAACGAGUACACCGGCCCACGCCAUCCGCCUCUGCGUGCAAUUGCACCUCGUAGCACCAUGGAAAAUUGGAUAAUGCGACUCGCACAACCCGGGAACAAGCGGAAUCUGUCCGACGUUAUACGGACAAACCGUGGCGAUCUUCUUCGAUGCUCGGGCGCGUUUCGAAUUUUCCUCCGCUUCCGGGAAGAACGAUCGCCCUCGAUCUCACGCAGUUCCGUGAAUCGCUUUCCCCUUUUGCAACUUGACGUUGUGUGGGUGCGACGAUCUAACCUCGACGAAGGAAAGGUAAAUCAAGAAGGUUUGCUUAAUCGCGUUUCGCGUGGUCGUAAAGUUACAAUCGUCUUAUCCCGUAGAAAUUGGUGAUCGCACGCAACGGGCUGCGUCUAGCUAACUUGUUGGCGAAGCCUCGUUCAAAUUGGUCAAGCAAUUUGAACUUGGCUUUGGAUUAAUAGCACGCGUUAAGUUAUUUGAAUUAAACGGCUGUUCUGAAUGAAAUUUCUUCGGACAGCGGAUGGUAAAUAAUGUGAGUAGCGAGGAUAGUCUGUGAAAGUCGCAUAGCGCAAGUCAGAUUACUUUAAUUAAGCGGCUCAAUUUUUCGCUUGUGUCUUUGACAACGUUUAUACGUUCUUACUGUUAUUUCAUAUCACUUUCUUAUUGCUUUAGUACGAAGCUAAUAUCGCACACGUUAAUAUUUUGUAUAUAAUGACAUCAAAGAGAAAAUGUCUUGUAUCGAGCGCCGAGAGGAAAGAAAAUACUUCAGAAGUUAGAGAAGGUAGAUAAUUAAUGACGUCAAGAACAGGAACAUGUAAUUGGAAAUUACUCGGCUGUUUCAAGAAGUAGAAGAACUUGCAUGGUAUUGAAAAAUAAAUACCCGCGCUCUGUUUUGCAAUUAUGGUAAUGAAUCAGCGAUAAAGAAAUGUCACUAUCUAAAUAUAUAUAUUAUAACGCUAAUAUCUCGAAACAUUUGGAAUUUUCCAUACAUAUUGUCAACACUUUAAGUUCCCGUGUUGAAAGCAAGAAGAUUACAUUGAAAAUGACGAUGAACGACCAUCUUAUUUUCAAAUAUUCCGAAAAGACGCGGAUUCUAUUAACCGAAAAUUCCAUCGUCCCAACGAUUAUGUCUCUCUCCAUUAGUACGGAUACUAGAAAUUCCACUGUAAUGGUUUGUGAAAUGAUUAGUUCAAUUUUCUAAAACUUCCUACGCUUAGAUACGUUUCGACCGGAGAAACCGGUUGUCCAUAGACGAUUCUGAGCUACGAAGAUCGAUUCCGCAAAGUGCAGCUUCUUUUUUCGUCGUGUCACAGAACGAGGCGCACGUUCUUUUUUUGCAAUAACAAGUUAUUCCUUUUUGCCGCGACCAGCGACUGAAGAACUGCAAGAAAGCGGCGUUGGCAACUGGUGUUUCGCGUCGCUUCCUGCAAAGCUAAGCAAGCGGUUGCAGUGCUACGGGGGGACACGUAAUUAACGUUUAUAAACCAACGUGCCCCGGAAUAAAGAGACCUGGCCGAAUAGUACGCGCGGCAACUAUCUACGUAUACGGAAGUUACGACCCGUUAUUUAUCGCGUUAUUACGCUGAAUAUCGUCCGCCUGUUGGAAAUAACACGAGGCAUUUAAGGGAUCGUAAAGGACACUCGUUUCGUCUUUACGUCGUUUCCCCCUCGAAAUACGAGAAUUACGUUCGCCAGGUUGUUACGUGCACACGCUAGCCGCUCGUAAAAAUCCUUCGCGGCUCACCACCUCCGAUCUUUCCUGGAUACGGUCACCGUAGAUCUGAUCUAGACAUUUUUUAUCCUUUUGCUAGCCUCGGUUUACUCCGCGCGGUGUUUCCAACGGGUUAAUUAGUCGGAUAAAAUCCGUAUUCUAAUAUUUAGUCUGUGGAUAUUUAUGCAAGUUCGUGUUUGUCUGAAUAGGUACAAUUAAACAGGUAGAAUGUAGGUAUAGAAAAUCGUUUGAAAAUCGUAUAGAAAGUCGAUACAUUAAAUAUCGUAUUAACUGAUAGUUACUAGAAAGUACUGUAUGUUGGAUAUCUUAUAUAUCGUCGCGUCUUUAAAUUUUCCAUGAAAAUUCGCGGUCUACUAAUACCGCGAUACGAAAUUGAGCUAUUGGAAACAGAAAAAUCUUUUUAUAUCAGAAAUAUCAGGAACGGAUUGAUGAUACUGGGUAACAUACAAUUUUUUAUUACACGCUACGAUAUGAAAUCACGUAUUAAAA